rnacentral:tRNA from 1 species
GGCUAUAGCUCAGCUGGGAGAGCGCCUGCCUUGCACGCAGGAGGUCAGCGGUUCGAUCCCGCUUAGCUCCACCA